rnacentral:rRNA from 1 species
UAACACUUAGAAAUAGGUGCUAAUACCGCAUAACAACAGAAAGCGCAUGCUUUUUGUUUGAAAACCAAGGUGGUAUGGGAUGGACCCGCGUCUGAUUAGCUGGUUGGCGGGGUAAAGGCCCACCAAGGCGACGAUCAGUAGCCGGCCUGAGAGGGUGGACGGCCACAUUGGGACUGAGACACGGCCCAAACUCCUACGGGAGGCAGCAGUGGGGAAUAUUGCACAAUGGGGGAAACCCUGAUGCAGCGACGCCGCGUGAGUGAAGAAGUAAUUCGUUAUGUAAAGCUCUAUCAGCAGGGAAGAAAAUGACGGUACCUGAGUAAGAAGCCCCGGCUAACUACGUGCCAGCAGCCGCGGUAAUACGUAGGGGGCAAGCGUUAUCCGGAUUUACUGGGUGUAAAGGGAGCGUAGACGGCAGUGCAAGUCUGGAGUGAAAGGCGGGGACUCAACCCCCGGACUGCUCUGGAAACUGCACGGCUGGAGUGCAGGAGAGGUAAGUGGAAUUCCUAGUGUAGCGGUGAAAUGCGUAGAUAUUAGGAGGAACACCAGUGGCGAAGGCGGCUUACUGGACUGUAACUGACGUUGAGGCUCGAAAGCGUGGGGAGCAAACAGGAUUAGAUACCCUGGUAGUCCACGCCGUAACGAUGAAUAUUAGGUGU